rnacentral:tRNA from 1 species
AUGUAAUAAGGUGUUUAGAUGCAUUUCAUAUUUUGAUUAUGGAGGGGAUUAGGGUUCUAUUACUUU